rnacentral:rRNA from 1 species
UACGUAGGGUGCGAGCGUGUCCGGAAUUAUUGGGCGUAAAGAGCUCGUAGGCGGUCUGUCGCGUCGGUCGUGAAAACUUGGGGCUUAACCCUGAGCUUGCGGUCGAUACGGGCAUGACUGGAGUUCGGCAGGGGAGACUGGAAUUCCCGGUGUAGUGGUGGAAUGCGUAGAUAUCGGGAGGAACACCAGUGGCGAAGGCGGUUGGCCUGGAGCUUUGCUGACGCUGAGGCGCGAAAGCGUGGGGAGCAAACAGGG